CCUACGGGUGGCAGCAGUGGGGGAUAUUGCACAAUGGGGGAAACCCUGAUGCAGCGACGCCGCGUGAGGGAAGGAGUAUUUCGGUAUGUAAACUUCUAUCAGCAGGGAAGAAAAUGACGGUCCCUGACUAAGAAGCCCCGGCUAACUACGUGCCAGCAGCCGCGGUAAUACGUAGGGGGCAAGCGUUAUCCGGAUUUACUGGGUGUAAAGGGAGCGUAGGCGGCGAUGCAAGUCAGAAGUGAAAGCCGGGGGCGCAACUCCGGGACUGCUUUUGACACUGUAUGGCUAGAGUGCAGGAGAGGCAAGUGGAAUUCCUGGUGUAGCGGUGAAAUGCGUAGAUAUUAGGAGGAACACCAGUGGCGAAGGCGGCUUGCUGGACUGUAAAUGACGCUGAGGCUCGAAAGCGUGGGGAGCAAACAGGAUUAGAUACCCGUGUAGUC
rnacentral:rRNA from 1 species